rnacentral:rRNA from 1 species
CACGUAGGGCGCAAGCGUUGUCCGGAAUUAUUGGGCGUAAAGAGCUCGUAGGCGGUCUGUUGCGUCCGCUGUGAAAACUCGGGGCUUAACCCCGAGCCUGCAUUCGAUACGGGCAGACUAGAGUUCGGUAGGGGAGACUGGAAUUCCUGGUGUAGCGGUGAAAUGCGCAGAUAUCAGGAGGAACACCGGUGGCGAAGGCGGGUCUCUGGGCCGAUACUGACGCUGAGGAGCGAAAGCUUGGGGAGCAAACAGG